UAUUAGCUCAGUUGGUUAGAGCGCACCCCUGAUAAGGGUGAGGUCUCUGGUUCAAAUCCAG
rnacentral:tRNA from 33 species